rnacentral:misc_RNA from 1 species
AAGAACAGAUAGAUCUGUUGCAAGGAAUAUAGAGUUGGGUUUAGCAGCUUUACGUGGUGAGAAAGGUCCAGCCUACGAUAGAAUUGUUUUAAAUGCUGGAAUGGUUGACCAUUUGCUUGGGUCUGAUGGAGCUCAAGACAUAAGUGCAGCCUUUGAUAGAGCCAGAGAAGCCAUUGACAGUGGGAAGGCCCUCAGAGGACUCCUAAAUUACAUUAAGAUAUCUAACAAAGUAAUAUCAUAAUUAGAGGCCUGUAGGAUUUUUUCCUUCCUCCUUUGGUCAUUAUAAUCCCAGCAAACAAGUGCAAUAGUCUACGGAUAAUGAAAUUGAGAACCUUUCUUCCAUCUUAUAAAGCUGCUGUACAUGAACACGAAGAUUCACUGUUCCAGUUUUUCUUAAGCAAGCCUUUGUUGUCACCACUAGUUCACUGCUACUCCGAUAUGUUGAUACCACACACACAGUAAGGAUUUAGUGUUUCUGAUUGAAGUGCAACUUAUG